rnacentral:rRNA from 1 species
UACGAAGGGGGCUAGCGUUGCUCGGAAUCACUGGGCGUAAAGCGCACGUAGGCGGAUUGUUAAGUCAGGGGUGAAAUCCUAGAGCUCAACUCCAGAACUGCCUUUGAUACUGGCGAUCUUGAGUCCGGGAGAGGUGAGUGGAACUGCGAGUGUAGAGGUGAAAUUCGUAGAUAUUCGCAAGAACACCAGUGGCGAAGGCGGCUCACUGGCCCGGUACUGACGCUGAGGUGCGAAAGCGUGGGGAGCGAACAGG